rnacentral:lncRNA from 1 species
ACAAACCUUAACUAGUUUUCUAAACAAAAUUUAUUUAUUUUUCUAAAUUUAUUUUUCGAACUUAUAUUCAAAUACCCAAAAAGAAUCUUCGGGUGAAGUGGGAUGAUCCAACCUAUGUACAGAUAUAUUCUUUUUCAUGUUGUUUUCACAAAUAUUGUCAAGCAAAUUCAAGCCUAGUAGAACCAGCCAAUCAAGAAAAUCCUUUCGUCGAAGCCCAACCAAGAUGAGGCUAGGCCAAUUGAGCUAAGUGAGCAAUGGAUAGCUCUAAUCUCGACAACAACAUCACUCGCUACAUUUUCCCUGUUCUACCAAUCAACUUUCUAUUCAAACAAUCAAAAGACAAAUGUUGCAUUGAUUCAAAAUAGAAAAUGAAAUCAAGAAUUCCAGCUAAUUCACCCUCUUCAGAGCCUCUACUUGUAACAAUAACAAACAUCAUAUUCACUAAAAAAAUGGCCUCUCACAAGUCUUCUUUCCAAAACAAUCUCAGCAGCUAUUACGUACCAACAUUCAAAGCAUGUUCAUCAAUAAGCAACAGCUUAAUAGAAAAAAGAAGAGCAAUCAAGGCAAAGAAAAGAACAUCUUUCUCUGGUUAUUUUUAAAAAAUUUAAAGAAUUAGAAAAGAAAAUCAAGAUAUCUUUAUUAUUUUGCCAAAACUAGAAAAAAUAAUUUGGCAUCUGAAAUCAAAAGAAGAAGAGAUCAUCAGUGACUUAAAAACGAGCAGGAAUCAUGGGAAUGAAUCCAUCAUGUUGUUGGUCUUUCAGACUCAUCAUUUGAUCCUUUUUUUUAUCAUCCAAUCACUAAAAACCAUGUAAAACGCUAUCUUCUUCUUCCGAAAAGAACACAUAUAAUAGCUUACCCAAUGGGGAAAAUGCGAUUGGAGUGCAUUUAUAGACUCGAAGCCGACGGCCGCACCCUAAAACCCUGGAAC